UCCCCGUUUUGGCGGGGCAGUAUCUGAAGUAAUUGUAACAUCAGACAGGGGUUGCGCUCGUUGUGGGACUUAACCCGACAUCUCACGACACGAGCUGACGACAGCCAUGCAUCACCUCUAUAGCACCCUCGAAGGAUCCCGAUUUUCGUCGGGAGUGCAGCUACAGUUCAAGCCCAGGUGAGGUUCUUCGUUGAUCAUCGAAUUAAACCAGGCACUCCACUGCUUGUGCGGGUCCCCGUCAAUUCCUUUGUGUUUUAGUCUUGCGACCGUACUUCACAGGCGCCCCGUUUAACGCGUUAGCUGCGACACUCAAAAUACACUAAAACCUUCUCCGAAGAGAAAAUCGACAUAUAUUCCAAACAUCUAACGGGGAUUGUUUACUGCGUGGACUA
rnacentral:misc_RNA from 1 species